rnacentral:rRNA from 1 species
UAGGGAAUAUUGCAAAAUGGGCGAAAGCCCGAUGCAGCAACGCCGCGUGGGCGAUGAAGGCCUUCGGGUCGUAAAGCCCUUUUUGAGGGGAUGAGGAAGGACAGUACCCUCAGAAUAAGCCUCGGCUAACUACGUGCCAGCAGCCGCGGUAAAACGUAGGAGGCGAGCGUUAUCCAGAUUUACUGGGCAUAAAGCGCGUGCAGGCGGAUUGGAGAGUUGGAUGUGAAAGCUCCCGGCUUAACUGGGAGAGGUCGUUCAAUACUUCCAGUGUUGUGUGCAGUAGAGGGAAGUGGAAUUCCGGGUGUCGUGGUGAAAUGCGUAGAUAUCCGGAGGAACACCAGUGGCGAAAGCGGCUUCCUGGACUGUAACUGACGCUCAGACGCGAAAGCUAGGGUAGCAAACG